rnacentral:rRNA from 1 species
UACGGAGGGGGCAAGCGUUGUCCGGAAUCACUGGGCGUAAAGGGCGCGUAGGCGGCUGGGUAAGUAAGGGGUGAAAUCUCACGGCUCAACCGUGGGGCUGCCUCUUCGACUGCCCGGCUCGAGCAUGACAGAGGUCGGUGGAAUUCCCGGUGUAGUGGUGAAAUGCGUAGAGAUCCGGAAGAACACCGGUGGCGAAGGCGGACUGCUGGGGAGUGUAGCUGACACUGAGGCGCGACAGCGUGGGGAGCAAACAGG